GACGAACGCUGGCGGCGUGCUUAACACAUGCAAGUCGAACGGAGUGGCGAACGGGUGAGUAACACGUGGGUGACCUGCCCUGCACUUCGGGAUAAGCCUGGGAAACUGGGUCUAAUACCGGAUAGUGUGGGCGGGGCCCGCGGCCUUUCAGCUUGUUGGUGGGGUAAUGGCCUUCGAAGGCGGCGACGGGUAGCCGGCCUGAGAGGGUGGACGGCCACAUUGGGACUGAGACACGGCCGAGAGUGAUACGGGAGGCAGCAGUGCGGAACAGUGGACAAUGGGCGGAAGGCGGAUGCAGGGACGCAGCGUGGUGGAUGACGGCCUUCGGGUUGUAAGCUCUUUUCAUUAUCGACGCGGUAGAUGGAGAAGAAGCACGGGCUAACUACGGGCAAGCAGCGCGGUAAUAC
rnacentral:rRNA from 1 species